rnacentral:rRNA from 1 species
UACGUAGGGGGCUAGCGUUGUCCGGAAUCAUUGGGCGUAAAGCGCGUGUAGGCGGCCCGGUAAGUCCGCUGUGAAAGUCGGGGGCUCAACCCUCGAAUGCCGGUGGAUACUGUCGGGCUAGAGUACGGAAGAGGCGAGUGGAAUUCCCGGUGUAGCGGUGAAAUGCGCAGAUAUCGGGAGGAACACCAAUGGCGAAGGCAGCUCGCUGGGACGUUACUGACGCUGAGACGCGAAAGCGUGGGGAGCAAACAGG